rnacentral:misc_RNA from 1 species
AAGUCGUAACAAGGUUUCCGUAGGUGAACCUGCGGAAGGAUCAUUACAAAUAAAAGCCGGUAGGAGGUGGGUCUUGAUCUGUAAGUGGAGAGCGAAAGCCGGCUGCCUCCCGAAAAUGUCUUACAUGCCCCCCACAGCCUGAAGGCCGAAUAGCCCUUGAUUAUCUACACUUGUUGCUUUGGGGUGCUCAAGUGCCCCAGAGGCCCAAAUCUCUUGCAUUUAGUGACGUCUGAGUACUCUAUAAUAUUUAAAA